rnacentral:ncRNA from 1 species
CGUCUUCAGGGCAGGGUGAAAUUCCCGAUUGGCGGUAAAGUCCGCGCGCUGCCAGCAUUGGCGGCCGAUUUGGUUUGAUUCCAAAACCAACAGUUACAGUCUGGAUGAAAGAAGAUG